AUACUUACCUGGCAGGGGAGACACCAUGAUCACGAAGGUGGUUUUCCCAGGGUGGAGGCUCUCCAUUGCUCUCAGGGUGUGCUGACCCCUGCGAUUCCCCCAAUGCGGGAACUCGACUGAUUAAAUUUUUCUAGGAGCCCUGGUGCGCAUGGUUAAGCC